UUAAGUUUAACAGCAGAAAAUCAGUGUAAUUAGUGAAACUAAAAUGGAAUUGAAAACGUAUUCCCGUAUAGAAUAAACGUCCUUUGUAUUCAACAGCCAAAUCAAAAGUAAGAAACUGGCAGCCUGCAAUUUUAAUCUGAGAACCUAAUCCCCGAUAUCAGACCAAAUUAGGCAUGACCUUUGACCUUAUAAUUAAAUAGACUGUCCCAUCUUAUGGAAGAAACCAUCCGGUCUGAAUAAACAACACUUACACUUUGCAUAAGCUACAAGAUAUAAUAAACAAAACACUUGC
rnacentral:lncRNA from 1 species